rnacentral:piRNA from 1 species
UUCAAAAGGUAGCCUAUCAAAACC